GAUGAACGCUGGCGGCGUGCCUAAUACAUGCAAGUCGAGCGAACGGACGAGAAGCUUGCUUCUCUGAUGUUAGCGGCGGACGGGUGAGUAACACGUGGAUAACCUACCUAUAAGACUGGGAUAACUUCGGGAAACCGGAGCUAAUACCGGAUAAUAUUUUGAACCGCAUGGUUCAAAAGUGAAAGACGGUCUUGCUGUCACUUAUAGAUGGAUCCGCGCUGCAUUAGCUAGUUGGUAAGGUAACGGCUUACCAAGGCAACGAUGCAUAGCCGACCUGAGAGGGUGAUCGGCCACACUGGAACUGAGACACGGUCCAGACUCCUACGGGAGGCAGCAGUAGGGAAUCUUCCGCAAUGGGCGAAAGCCUGACGGAGCAACGCCGCGUGAGUGAUGAAGGUCUUCGGAUCGUAAAACUCUGUUAUUAGGGAAGAACAUAUGUGUAAGUAACUGUGCACAUCUUGGCGGUACCUAAUCAGAAAGCCACGGCUAACUACGUGCCAGCAGCCGCGGUAAUACGUAGGUGGCAAGCGUUAUCCGGAAUUAUUGGGCGUAAAGCGCGCGUAGGCGGUUUUUUAAGUCUGAUGUGAAAGCCCACGGCUCAACCGUGGAGGGUCAUUGGAAACUGGAAAACUUGAGUGCAGAAGAGGAAGGUGGAAUUCCAUGUGUAGCGGUGAAAUGCGCAGAGAUAUGGAGGAACACCAGUGGCGAAGGCGACUUUCUGGUCUGUAACUGACGCUGAUGUGCGAAAGCGUGGGGAUCAAACAGGAUUAGAUACCCUGGUAGUCCACGCCGUAAACGAUGAGUGCUAAGUGUUAGGGGGUUUCCGCCCCUUAGUGCUGCAGCUAACGCAUUAAGCACUCCGCCUGGGGAGUACGACCGCAAGGUUGAAACUCAAAGGAAUUGACGGGGACCCGCACAAGCGGUGGAGCAUGUGGUUUAAUUCGAAGCAACGCGAAGAACCUUACCAAAUCUUGACAUCCUUUGACAACUCUAGAGAUAGAGCUUUCCCCUUCGGGGGACAAAGUGACAGGUGGUGCAUGGUUGUCGUCAGCUCGUGUCGUGAGAUGUUGGGUUAAGUCCCGCAACGAGCGCAACCCUUAAGCUUAGUUGCCAUCAUUAAGUUGGGCACUCUAAGUUGACUGCCGGUGACAAACCGGAGGAAGGUGGGGAUGACGUCAAAUCAUCAUGCCCCUUAUGAUUUGGGCUACACACGUGCUACAAUGGACAAUACAAAGGGCAGCGAAACCGUGAGGUCAAGCAAAUCCCAUAAAGUUGUUCUCAGUUCGGAUUGUAGUCUGCAACUCGACUACAUGAAGCUGGAAUCGCUAGUAAUCGUAGAUCAGCAUGCUACGGUGAAUACGUUCCCGGGUCU
rnacentral:rRNA from 1 species